UACCGAGGGGGCUAGCGUUGUUCGGAAUUACUGGGCGUAAAGGGCGCGUAGGCGGCCCGCUAAGUCGAACGUGAAAUCCCCGGGCUCAACCCGGGAACUGCGUCCGAUACUGGCAGGCUUGAAUCCGGGAGAGGGAUGUGGAAUUCCAGGUGUAGCGGUGAAAUGCGUAGAUAUCUGGAGGAACACCGGUGGCGAAGGCGGCAUCCUGGACCGGUAUUGACGCUGAGGCGCGAAAGCCAGGGGAGCAAACGGG
rnacentral:rRNA from 1 species